AUUGAACGCUGGCGGCAGGCCUAACACAUGCAAGUCGAGCGGAUGAAGGGAGCUUGCUCCUGGAUUCAGCGGCGGACGGGUGAGUAAUGCCUAGGAAUCUGCCUGGUAGUGGGGGAUAACGUCCGGAAACGGGCGCUAAUACCGCAUACGUCCUGAGGGAGAAAGUGGGGGAUCUUCGGACCUCCCGCUAUCAGAUGAGCCUGGGUCGGAUUAGCUAGUGGGUGGGGUAAAGGCCUACCAAGGCGACGAUCCGUAACUGGUCUGAGAGGAUGAUCAGUAAAAAUGGAACUGAGACACGGUCCAGACUCCUACGGGAGGCAGCAGUGGGGAAUAUUGGACAAUGGGCGAAAGCCUGAUCCAGCCAGGCCGCGUGUGGGAAGAAGGUCUUCGGAUUGUAAAGCACUUUAAGUUGGGAGGAAGGGCAGUAAGUUAAUACCUUGCUGUUGUGACGUUACCAACAGAAUAAGCACCGGCUAACUUCGUG
rnacentral:rRNA from 1 species